GUUGGAGUGAGAUUGGACAGAGCGUGGCUGAAGCUGACAGGAAAGAGAUUAUGCAGGUCUAAGGAGAACUUCCUUGGGAAGCAACCAAGAAUUGUCUUGAGACAAUAACAUUCCAGAAUUAGGUUUUGGGAGAGAGUGUCAAAAUCUCAUUCUAAUGGCUGAACAAUUUUAUCUGGGAAGAGAUGUGGCCAACUUUCUAGGGCUGACUUUGAUCCAGUAGAACAUGUCUUUUACAAGCAUUUACUUUACCAACUGGGAGCUCAGUACCCUCCCCUGUGAAAAACACCCAGGCAAGUCCAAGUCCCACAGAGUUGUUGCAACAGAGGGAAAAACAAGUGGGAUUCCAUUCAGCUUGGCUCCUAAAAAGAUCCUUAUUGGUGCUUGUGCCUGUACUACUAAGAGAGUUGUGGAAACCUUGGAAUGUGCCCAGAGUAGAGCAAUGGAAAUGAUUGGGAAAGAGGAUCUAUGAGAAAAGGCUCAAAGAAUUGAUAUGGGUGUAGAAAUAAAAUUGUGUGGAAUUACAGAUAAACUAUUUCAGGAGUAUGAAGUUAAACAAACAAGAGAAGAUGAAGGAGGAAAAGAAGAAGAUGGAGGAGGACAAAGUUUUCAGAAGUGCUUAUUAGAGCUAUUACAUGCCAAAUAUCUACUCUGUGGGAAAAGCAAAUUUCACAUUUUUAUCAACUCUGUAUUCACACAUCUGAUCAAGAGAUGUUAGAAGCCAGUUCUUGAGAAUGGCAGGACCACCUUGUGGACAUAACCUGGGUCGGUGAAUGACUGCACGGAGCAGAGUCCUACCUGUCAAGACGUCAGAUUAUGAUGUGAAUAAGCAAUAAACAUAUAUUUUGUUAACUCAUUA